AACGAACGCUGGCGGCAGGCUUAACACAUGCAAGUCGAACGCAUCCUUCGGGGUGAGUGGCAGACGGGUGAGUAACGCGUGGGAACGUGCCCUUCAGUUCGGGAUAACCCAGGGAAACUUGGGCUAAUACCGGAUACGUGCGAGAGCAGAAAGAUUUAUCGCUGAAGGAUCGGCCCGCGUCUGAUUAGCUAGUUGGUGGGGUAAUGGCCCACCAAGGCGACGAUCAGUAGCUGGUCUGAGAGGAUGAUCAGCCACAUUGGGACUGAGACACGGCCCAAACUCCUACGGGAGGCAGCAGUGGGGAAUAUUGGACAAUGGGCGCAAGCCUGAUCCAGCCAUGCCGCGUGAGUGAUGAAGGCCUUAGGGUUGUAAAGCUCUUUCGUCCGGGAUGAUAAUGACAGUACCGGGAGAAUAAGCUCCGGCUAACUCCGUGCCAGCCGCCGCCGUAA
rnacentral:rRNA from 1 species